rnacentral:lncRNA from 1 species
GCUUUGUAUCUAGGCCUUAAAGACUUCAAACAGGACAAAAGAUAAUGAAGCUUCUUCCCAUUCCUCAUCCCAAGUAACCACUAUUACCCAGUUCUAGUGGAUCCCUUCAAUGUUCAAAGCUCAUUUAUGUCUCUCUUUAAAAUGGUAGUUGGGGAUAGGAGUGUAUCUAGUGGGAGAACACAUGCAUAGCAUGUGCCAGGCCCUGUGUUCAAAGUAACAAACCAUACACAACUGACUUGCUUUUUGUUUUGUAGUACAUACAGGUCUACCUCAUUCUUUCAGUGGCUGCUGAAUAUUCUAACUUUAGAUAUGCCAUUAUUUAACCUGUCCUUUGGUGAGGUACUUGAAUUGCCUCAAACCUACCUUACCCUGCAGUGGCAUAUGUGUGCACAUAACUUGGGAGUGGCAUAAUGACCAGGAUGGAGGUUAUGUAUAUUUAAAACUUUGAUAGAUACUGCCAAUUUUCCUCUAAAAGAAACUGCUGAUUUACACUUACAUAAUGUAUUAUCUGAUCACAACCUCACAUAAUAUAUUAGCAGAAUUCUUGGUUUUGAAGAAAUUUUUAGAACUUAUACUGUAGCAAGCAUCCUUUUAGGAAACCCUUAUGCAAUGUUACAUUCAGCUGAUGAUGUGUAGCCUGAAGACAUGCAGGUAUGAGCUGAAGGUGCCGCCCUCAGUAGUUUUCAAGUUCAUUCUUAACUGAUUAGUUACUUUUGUUAAAUCUGUCAACAGUCACCCUAGUCAUUCUUUUCAUUUCCUUAUUGUAAGGGUUAUAUAGAUUUCCAAGGGUUUUAGGAAAUAAAUAUUUAUUCACAAUGAUAAUGUAACUUUCAUAUUUUUAAAUCCCUAUUAGUAAAGCAGAAGACCAUCUACAAAGGCAGAAAGGAAAGCAACUGCCUUACACUUCUGUAAAAAAAGUAUAGCAUGUAGUUGCUAAAAGGUGUGAGUAGAUCAAGUUAACCGGAACUUAAAAGUAUCUUGGUCAGUCACUGAAUUCCGAAACUUGAUCCAAGACAAAUAUUGAGUGUUAAAAUUCUGCCUGUGAUCACACAUGGGGAAUCAGAACCCCAAGGGUUGCAUUUUCCUCACUUCAGAGCAGUUACUGCAGAACACCACUGCCGGUCCUGGAAAGACACAAAGUCCAUAGGAACUCCUUUCUACUCUCAUUAAAAGAAAAUGAUUCCUUAUAGGUAAGCACAUGCUAUUCUCCGCACUCUGCUCUUUAGUCCCUGAGUUCAAUCAAAAGUGCCAGAAGUGAAAGGAGAAGUCAUUUGCUACCCAAUCCUCUUGCUUUGGCUACCAAGCAUGGACGUUAAAAUGAUGAUGAAAUUAGAAUGCGUACCCAAGACUGCUAGAUCUCCAGUGGACUCUUGACAACCACUGGAAAGAACCAGUGUUGCUAGACCAUCCACUUUUUCAAGAGAAGCCAGGAAUCUGAAGUUUUGUGAACUCUCCCAGCUUUUACAUGCUAACUACCAACUCAAACAUUUUUGAAACACUGCUGAACAGAAUGAGCAUGGCAUCGCAGUUUCUAACCUCUGGGUCAUAAAUUCAGGGGUCGAAAGCAGACUCCUCUAUGCUUAGAGCUGUCUAGGAAGGCAAAACUACUAAUAACUGUUUAUAGGAAUACAUGUGUCCCUUUUUUAGAUACACAAAGAAGAAAAAUUAUUGGGAUCUUUAAAAACACCUUAAGAGCUUCAUUAUCGAUUCAUUGCUAGUGAAACAAUUAUGAUAAAUUCUUUUUAAUGAGAAGAUCACUAAUUGCCUAGAUUAUCUAGUCAUUCACUGGAAUGCUGUAUAGAGGUGUGCAGAAAACAUAGUUUUGGGUUUUUUGGGUUUUUUUGUAAACUCUAAACAUAUUAGAAAGGCUUCUAGGCAAACUGUACCAAGGAGCAGGAAUAACUGAAUUUUGCAACUGGAAGAAUAAAAUAGAAGCUUUUCAGAAUGUGGAAGAAAAAUAGGGUACUGGGUAUAUUGUAUAGAUUUAGUCACAGGAUUAGAAACAACUUACUCUGUUUGAACAGAUCCAUCUAGCUGGCCAAGUAUAACUUUCAGGGAUCAAUUUUAGCCAUAAUAUUUCUUUUUGAAAGAAAAUUUUGCACCUCUGUUGCUGUACAUUUACAUACGUAUGCUGUUAUGCCAUGUCAACUUUUGAAGUAACUUGCAACCCACUCCCUGAAUGCAUUUUAUUCCAAAGUGGACAGUACCAUUAAGAAUAAAAAUUAGUAGCCUUAAUACUAGUGAUUUCAGCAUUUUUAGGUAACUGAAUCAAGCAAGUGAUGUUGCUUGAUGGCUACUAAUCUAAAUCCACUCACCACAAAACUGAUCUUGCAGAGUGAUGCAAAACACUGAACUGCAGGAGUCAGGAGAGAUGAGUUAGGAAACCUACCUCUCAUUAAGGUUCUGACGGUGUUCAUACUGUAAUAUGAGAGUGGUAGACCAACUCAAAGGUUUCUUUCCAGCUUUAGACUUCUGUGGAGAUUAAAUUUAUUAUAUUAUUGGUCUGAAGAGCCUUCUCAGUAUAAUGUGUUUUUUCUUUUCUGACUCUUCAUUUACCAACAUGUUUGUCUGAUAAGGAUCCCUGAAAGAAUGAUCCCCACUCCUUCCUCUAUCACCAAGACCAUGGCUUAAGGGAGCUGGGAGUUUUAAGAGGGUUGGGUGUAUGUGUGUGUGUAAUUAAUACUUGAGAUUCUGAGUAAGAGGAUAAUCUAAAUAAUGAAAUAG